AAAAAGGCUGUUUUCACAGCCUCUUAAUAGAAAUUCUUAUUUUUUA
rfam:Bacillus coahuilensis p1.1.43 ABFP000046, whole genome shotgun sequence.